GACGAACGCUGGCGGCGUGCUUAACACAUGCAAGUCGAACGGAAAGGCCCUGCUUUUGUGGGGUGCUCGAGUGGCGAACGGGUGAGUAACACGUGAGUAACCUGCCCUUGACUGUGGGAUAACUUCAGGAAACUGGGGCUAAUACCGGAUAGGAGCUCCUGCUGCAUGGGGGGGGUUGGAAAGUGUCGGCGUUUGGGGCUGGACUAGCGGCUUAUCAGCUGGUUGGUGGGGUAGUGGCUGACCAAGGGUUUGACGGGUAGCCGGCCUGAGAGCGUGACCGGCGACAUUGGGACUGAGAUACGGACCAGACUCCUACGGGAGGCAGCAGUCGGGAGUAUUGCACAAUGGGGGGAAGCCUGAUGCAGCAACCCCGCGUGCGGGAUGACGGCUUUCGGGUUGUAAACCGCUUUCGCCUGUGACGAAGCGUGAGUGACGGUAAUGGGUAAAGAAGCAACGGCUAACUACGUG
rnacentral:rRNA from 1 species